rnacentral:piRNA from 1 species
UGAUUUCAGACAACCUUCCAACCGGAAUC